rnacentral:rRNA from 7 species
UGGCUCAGAUUGAACGCUGGCGGCAGGCCUAACACAUGCAAGUCGAACGGUAACAGGAAGCAGCUUGCUGCUUCGCUGACGAGUGGCGGACGGGUGAGUAAUGUCUGGGAAACUGCCUGAUGGAGGGGGAUAACUACUGGAAACGGUGGCUAAUACCGCAUAACGUCGCAAGACCAAAGAGGGGGACCUUCGGGCCUCUUGCCAUCAGAUGUGCCCAGAUGGGAUUAGCUUGUUGGUGAGGUAACGGCUCACCAAGGCGACGAUCCCUAGCUGGUCUGAGAGGAUGACCAGCCACACUGGAACUGAGACACGGUCCAGACUCCUACGGGAGGCAGCAGUGGGGAAUAUUGCACAAUGGGCGCAAGCCUGAUGCAGCCAUGCCGCGUGUAUGAAGAAGGCCUUCGGGUUGUAAAGUACUU